GACGGAGGAUGCAAGUGUUAUCCGGAAUCACUGGGCGUAAAGCGUCUGUAGGUGGUUUAAAAAGUCUACUGUUAAAAAUUGAAGCUUAACUUCAAAGAUGCCGUAGAAACUUUUAAACUUGAGGAUGGUAGGGGUAGAGGGAAUUUCCAGUGGAGCGGUGAAAUGCGUAGAUCUUGGAAAGACCACCAAUGGCGAAGGCACUCUACUGGGCCAUGACUGACGCUGAGACGCGAAAGCGUGGGGAGCGAACAGG
rnacentral:rRNA from 1 species